ACCACACAUUCACUUUAUCCCUUUUUUCCAUCUUCCUCACACCUCACAUUCACUUUAUCCCUUUUCCCCCAACUCCCUCAGGUGCACACACUCACUUUUCACUACUCAUCCUUGGCUCACUCAUAAAUUAUUUCUCACAACUCAUACUCACACUCUUUCUCUUUAACAACUCACACCACCCGUGUCGUUUACAUAUAUAAAAACACUCUAUCAUACAGAGGAGGAGAACGCUACUGACUAAAAAGAAGAGCAGACAUUCUGAAAAGAAAAAAAAAACGAAGCAACAUCAACCAUAAACCUAGCUCCAAAACAGUCCAUAAACCACCCUUAAACUAAUCUGAGAGCACCAAAAGAGGUCCUUUGUGAGUCUGGGUUCGUAAGCUUUUAUUUGAGGUUGCCGUUCGAUUUCCGGUCUUGUGGUCGAGGUCCUGGUUUUCGAAUUGUUGUUCAAUCCGUUCAAUCAAAGAGCCUUUAAAAUUUGAGUUUUGAGUUUACGAUAAGAAGGGAAGAGGAAAGAGUUUUGGGUAAGAUUUUGCCUUCGUUGAUGAGAGAAGGAACGAAAAGAGUGAGAUUUUGGGUUUGUGGUGAUGGAGAGAUUAGUGGAGAAAGAAUCACUAUAAUUUUGAAAAUUUGGUGGAAUAUGUGAGACUUUUAAUCUCUAAUACAUCAUCCCUGGAAUCAUGGGUCAGUUUUAAAAAAUAAAGACUGAUGGUAAUGUAUCAAUUUUGAAAUAUGCUAUAUAUGUAAAUGAAUGUGCUACAUAUGAAAUAAAACAAAAGUAAUAUUGUUUAUAUAAAUA